GUGCUCGCUUCGGCAGCACAUAUACUAAAAUUGGAAUGAUACAGAGCAGAUUAGCAUGGCCCCUGCACAAGGAUGACACGCAAAUUCGUGAAACAUUCUAUAUUUUU
rnacentral:snRNA from 1 species